GACGUAGGAUGCAACCGUUAUCCGGAAUUAUUGGGCGUAAAGAGUUCGUAGGUGGUUUGUUAAGUAGAGCGUCAAAGACUUGAGCUCAACUCAAGGAAGGUGCUCUAUACUGGCUAACUAGAGUAAGACAGAGGCAGGUGGAAUUCUGUGUGUAGGGGUAAUAUCCGUAGAUAUACAGAGGAACACCAAAAGCGAAGGCAGCCUGCUGGGUCUUUACUGACACUCAAGAACGAAAGCGUGGGGAGCAAACAGG
rnacentral:rRNA from 1 species